rnacentral:rRNA from 1 species
CAACGUAGGUAAUCUACCUUUGAUGGGGAAUAACAGUCGGAAACGACUGCUAAUACCGCAUAAUGCAGCGGCAUCGCAAGAUGACAGUUGUUAAAGGAGCAAUCCGCUUAAAGAGGAGCCUGCGGCAGAUUAGGUAGUUGGUAGGGUAAUGGCUUACCAAGCCUUCGAUCUGUAGCCGACCUGAGAGGGUGGUCGGUCACACUGACACUGAAUAACGGGUCAG